UAAUCAAGUGUGCAGGUUUCCCAGCAAGGGUGCAAGAGGCUCCACCACAGCCAUACAGACUCUUGAGAAAAAGAAUAAUAGAAAAAUUAAACACAUGGGAUUAUGACAAUGACUCCAUCAGGACCAAGGUGGUUCCAGAAGUGCUCUCACAAAAAAAGUGAAAAAGCCAAAACAUAACAGAGGGCUCUCUGCCACUGUGGCAGCCUGCGUACUUCUGCUUCUCUGACUUGCCUUUGGAGAAGGAGGCUUGACUUGUGGCACUUAAUUGUCCAUGAUUCUUUCAUGAAUCUUGGACUUCUUUUAAAAAAAAAGUUGCUUACAAGCUCUUCUGCUACAGCUUGAGUUUGGAAACAACAGAGAAACAAGAUUGCAAGUCAGUCAUACCAUAGUCAUCAUCACUUCUAGUUCUGAAAGACUGAAGCAGCAGAUAUCAAAAAGGAGUGGAAGUUCAGGAGCUGCUGAGACUCUACAGCUAACACUUCCUGAGGCUCUGCUCUGCAAGAUAUUUCAGCUAUAACUUGUCAACUGGAUAAGGAAGAAGGUCCAUUGUAUACUUCAACUUUGAAGAAGGUGUUGUUGGUCAAUGGAGCAUUAGUAGACUGUCAUCCUAAUACAUUUCCCUGGAGUACCUAGAGAAUAGUAAAAUGCAGCUGAACUGAAUGGCAUAGGUUGUUCUAAGAAUUAUGUAGUACUGACCUGUAGAGACAGCAUUACUUAGCAUUACCCAAGAAAUUUCAUGGACCACAAGAGAGGCUAUGAACCACAAAGGUCACAAAUUACUUUUCAACACCAUUUUAUCUUGGAAAAUAGACAUGGGGGAAGUUGCCAUUCCCUCAGUUUCCUACACUCUCUGCAAGUCAACUGUACUGCAGAAAGCGACUGAAGUAUGAGACUCUCAU